rnacentral:rRNA from 1 species
UACAGAGGGUGCGAGCGUUAAUCGGAAUUACUGGGCGUAAAGCGUGCGCAGGCGGUGAUGUAAGACAGGUGUGAAAUCCCCGGGCUUAACCUGGGAACUGCAUUUGUGACUGCAUCGCUGGAGUGCGGCAGAGGGGGAUGGAAUUCCGCGUGUAGCAGUGAAAUGCGUAGAUAUGCGGAGGAACACCGAUGGCGAAGGCAAUCCCCUGGGCCUGCACUGACGCUCACGCACGAAAGCGUGGGGAGCAAACAGG